rnacentral:rRNA from 1 species
GAUGAACGUUGGCGGCGUGCCUAAGACAUGCAAGUCGAGCGGCAGCGCGAGUAGUUUACUACUUGGCGGCGAGCGGCGGACGGCUGAGUAACACGUGGGAACGUGCCCCAAAGUGAGGGAUAACGCACCGAAAGGUGUGCUAAUACCGCAUAUGGUCUUCGGAUUAAAGAAUUUAUUCGCUUUGGGAGCGGCCCGCGUCGGAUUAGGUAGUUGGUAGGGUAAUGGCCUACCAAGCCGACGAUCCGUAGCUGGUCUGAGAGGAUGAUCAGCCAGACUGGAACUGAGACACGGUCCAGACUCCUACGGGAGGCAGCAGUGAGGAAUCUUCCACAAUGGGCGAAAGCCUGAUGGAGCAACGCCGCGUGCAGGAUGAAGGCCUUCGGGUUGUAAACUGCUUUUAUAAGUGAAGAAUAUGACGGUAACUUAUGAAUAAGCACCGGCUAACUACGUGCCAGCCGCCGCCGUAA